GCCAGUGCGGUGUAGUGGUGUGAGUGUUGGAUUAGGACUCUAGAGACCAGGGUUCAAAUCCCAGCCUGACC